CCCACAUGGACAUUUGGAUAGCCACGAGACAUCCUUUCCGCGUCCAUCCCCGGGAGCCCGUUCCACCACUCGCGAGGUGGGGAAGAGAAUCCGCGACGGGAGGCGGCGACGCUGCUGGGAGAGACACUCUCGAUCUCGUCUUCCUCCGGCGACCGGAGGACAGAUCGAACCAGAGCCUUCCCACCAGCGCCACCCCCCCCCCCCGCCCGCCACCUCCCCCCGCCCGCCCCCUCGCCUCCCCACUGGUCGCCUCUCCCCCUCCCCACUGCUCGCCGCCUUCAGGACCUGCCGGAUCCGCUCCGCGCCGCCGCCAACCCAGGCCGGCCGCUGCUGCCCCAACCUCGAGGCGACGACGACGGCCGGCGGUCGGGAUUUACGAAGGUGCGCGCCGGACAGCAACUGCCCCUACCUGACGUGGGAGCCAGCUCCGGUGAUUCUGCUCCAGCUAGCGACAGGGGAGAUCGUGUGCGCUGGUUGCCUGAGCCGACGAGAGGGAGAUGAUGCGACGGAUGUGUGGUCUCCUUAGCCCGAUUCUGCUCCGGCGAGGCGGCUAGGGGAUGGUGCGCGUUGGGGGCGGAGCCAGCGGGUGGGAGAUGGUGCAGACCGCCGUGGAUGCCCACGAGGACGACCUCCACAGCCCCUACUGGGAAGGCGUGAGGGAGGUGGCGGCGGUGGCAUGCAUAGACCUCGACUUGGGAGGUAAGAGGGCCUCCUUCGAGUCGCUCCACCGCCAGCCUCCGUCGGCGACCACCGCCGAACGAGAGGCGGCCGAUGCCAUGCUCUCUGAGGCAAUGGCGCAGCUCCGGGAGUCGCAGGAAGCCCUGCACGCCCUGGGGCCAGCCCCCAGGUGUCGUCUACCUCGCCAACAAUGACGCCACCGCUGACGAGCUCGUCGACCUUAAGAACGAGGAGGCUGAUCUAUUGAUCUACAUAAUUUUGUAACUAACACAUACUUCUCUUCUGCAGUACUAGCAUUUGAAUGUAGAGACUUCAUAGCGAAGGGCAUGAGAGUCGAAAAUCAUAAUGAAACUGUGAAGUUUUGGUUGAGAAUUGCUUGUUGAGAAUUGAAUUUUGCUGGAGAUGUAAAGAUUAUUAUGUUGUCGUGGUUGAAUAUGGUCCCUGUAAUUUCUGUACUAA